AUCUCGUGUACUAUGGCAGUAUCAUAACCAAUGAAGUUAAUCUGAGAUGUGAUUAUUGCUAGUUGAAAACUUUUUCCAAUGUGUCAUGGAAUUAAGGAACCAGUUUCUCUCUCAUAGCUCCUGGGAAAGGUUAAAGUUC
ensembl:snRNA U4 U4 spliceosomal RNA